rnacentral:rRNA from 1 species
UACGUAGGGGGCUAGCGUUGUUCGGAUUUACUGGGCGUAAAGGGCGCGUAGGCGGCGCUUCAAGUCGCGUGUGAAAGCCCCGGGCUCAACCUGGGAGGUGCGCGCGAGACUGUGGUGCUGGAGUUCGGGAGAGGAGCGUGGAAUUCCCAGUGUAGAGGUGAAAUUCGUAGAUAUUGGGAAGAACACCGGUGGCGAAGGCGGCGCUCUGGACCGAGACUGACGCUGAGGCGCGAAGGCGUGGGGAGCAAACAGG